UACGGAGGGGGCAAGCGUUGUCCGGAAUCAUUGGGCGUAAAGAGCGUGUAGGCGGUCCGGUAAGUCCGUUGUGAAAGUCAAGGGCUCAACCCUUGAAUGCCGGCGGAUACUGUCGGGCUAGAGUCCGGAAGAGGCGAGUGGAAUUCCUGGUGUAGCGGUGGAAUGCGCAGAUAUCAGGAGGAACACCGAUGGCGAAGGCAGGUCUCUGGGCCACUACUGACGCUGAGAAGCGAAAGCAUGGGGAGCGAACAGG
rnacentral:rRNA from 1 species